GACAGAGGUGCCGAGCGUUAGGCGGAAUCACUGGGCUUAAAGCGUGUGUAGGCGGACAAUUAAGUACCUUGUGAAAUCCCACGGCUUAACCGUGGAACGGCUGGGUAUACUGGUUGUCUUGAGCCACUUAGGGGCGAGCGGAACAAAUGGUGGAGCGGUGAAAUGCGUAGAUAUCAUUUGGAACGCCAAUGGUGAAAACAGCUCGCUGGGAGUGUGCUGACGCUGAGACACGAAAGCCAGGGUAGCGAACGGG
rnacentral:rRNA from 1 species